UAGCUGCAAUGAACAGCAAGUUGAACACAUUUUUACAUUCAGACCAUAUCCUUAUAAGCAACCAAAUGAAAAUAUGAUUUGCUCUGUAAGUGAAAUUUUUUGGUGGUACAAAUGAUUAUGAAUUACAGAGGAGCACCAGUUACCCACUGCUGUUGGCAAGAACACUGUGGAAGAGGACUGAAGCCAGAUACAGAAUUUGUUGAAGUGUGAGGCAGUUAACAGGUGUGACAUUCAACAGUUGGUAGGAAUAUAAUUCGGGUUUAAUAUGAGAUGGGCACUGUUGGUUGCAACUGAUUCCAAGAGAGUGGCUGAAGCUGAAAGGUGGGAUCUUGGUGCAACUAAAGAUACCAGAAUAACAAGGAGAAAUAAGAAGAACAAGUGAGAAGAUGAGGAACACUGAAACCAAGAAAAUUAUGCAACUACGGAGCAUAUUGUGAACAAAAGAGCUGAGUAUAUCAGUUUAUGUUAAAUUUUCCAAGAAUUAAAUUCUCUUAAGUUUUUACUAAUUUAAUUAUGUGUGAAUUGACCAGUUCGGAUCGUACUACAAUUUCAUUUCUUCUCUGUCUGAUGUUUCUUCUUUCUCCAGUACUCCUGUAUAUGGACGCUGUGCUGUUGCUUCUGUCCAUCCGUCCAGGCUUUUCUAGUCUUGGUUCUUCUUUUCAUGUGUAGUCAUGGUCCACAAUGUAUUCUUAUUUUACAUCUGAACUUUCUGAAUGUUAACAUUUCCAGAUCUUUACAAGCUUCCUCAAUCCUUAUCGUUGUUGUGUUCUUGUUCCACAGGUAGUCGAAUAUCCUUUUGGAUAGUCUGGUUUUGUCCAUUCAGUACAAGUGUCCUAGAGAUGAUUACCUCCGCUAGUUCGUGGUCUCUGAAAUUUUCUCCACCUUAUUGUAGAUUUCAUUGUUGCUCCAAAAUUUCCAACCAGUUACAACCUGACUUUGACCCAUGAUUUUCCCAUAAUACUCAUCUUCCUAGUAAGUCCAGCUUUUCCAACUUCUAAUUCAUUGGGGCAUUCACUGGCAUACAGGCACACUGUUUUUACCACAACAUUGUAGUAUUGUAUUGUGACAUUCCAAGAGAUGCACUUUUUGUUUUAAAAGUUUGUAGUAAAUCCGUAAGCUCUAUGUAUUUGUGAGCUCUGUUCCCCCACAGAGGCCUUCUCCAGUCCGUUGUCUUGUAUGGCUUCACCGAGGUAUUUGAUUUUUUUUUACCCUCUCAAUCCACCCAAUCUCCGUUCCAAGGAAUUGUGGUCCAUGUUUGUCACUUGUCAUAACUUUGGUCUUCCCUUUAGAGAUCCUAAGUCAUGGCAUGACAUGCCGGGACUGAUUAGCUGAACAGUUCGCUUUCUUAGGAAUUCACACACACUUCCUGUUUUGCAAGUCAUCCUCUCUAGUGGGUUAGUGUGUGUGGCUGCUUCUCCUAAGUUCUCUGAAAGUGUCACAAAAUCAUCAGUGAAAGCCAAGCAGUUUACUUUGAUUCCUCCUGAUAUUCUUCCUAGACAGAUUGGGCCAAUCCCUUGAUUUUCAAGUUCAGAAUUCCAAUUUCUCACAAUCUACUCCAGGAUACAGUUAAACAGUAUUGGUGAUAAUCCAUCGCCCAGUCACACACCUGUUCUCCCAUAAACUUCACUUUGGAAGUUGUGCCUGUUAAGAUGUAUGUGAUAAUGUUUGCCAGCUUGUUACUGACCCCAAAUUCCGUGAUGAUUCUAUCUAGAGUCUCUCUAUCCACCGAGUCAGUUCUAUUCAGCAGUGUCCUUGGGAGGAUCUUGUCGAUGACUGGGUGUAGUGACAUGUCUCUGUAGUUGUUUACAAGUUGUUUCUACCUUUCUUAUGGAGUGGGUAGAUCAGUGCUGUUUUCCAUUCAUCUGGCAGUUUUACUAUCUCCCAUAUUUGCUGAAAGAUUUGGUGUAGGUCAUCUAGGAUUUCUGUUCUGCCCAUUUCAGCAUUUCUGCUGAUAUCGGGUCUUCUCCACUGGCCUUGUUGUUUUUGGGACUUUUUAGGGCUUCCUUUGUUUCUUCUUCUGUUGGUGGUAUGUCAUCCUCUAGGUUUUGAGGAGGAGCCAGAAGUUCCAGUUUGGUGGUUGGAGGUGGGCAGUUGAGCAGCUUGUAGAAGUGUCUGAUUAGUAGAGUGCAAUUUUCUUCAUUAUUCAAUCCAAUUUUGUCCUGUUCAUUUUUGAAACUUACACUUGGGACCUGGUAUCCUUUGAUCCGAUCUUUGAAAGUUUGAAAAAGUCUCUGUUGUUAUUUUUUGUGUAGCUGUUCUUGAGAUUUUCUAAUUUUUAUUUCUCAAAUGAUCGUUUGACUCUGCAGGAUAUCCUUGCUGUUUCUUUUCUUUGUUUUCUGAAUUGUUCCAUGUGUUGUCUCUCACUUCGUGUGCUUUCUCACAUUCUUCAUUCCACCAGAUUAACCGUUUUGUCAUUGCCUGACAGUGUUUUCUUUGCGGCAUCGUUGAUCUCUGUACGGAGUUAUUGCCAGGGGUCUAUUCUAGAUGAGCGGAUUUCUUCUUUGAAGUUAUUUGGAAUGUCCCGGUUGAUGUUCAUUGGGUUGGUGUUAUACUUGAUCACUAUGAGUGGCUCUGUUUCAUUUUGAUGCGAGAAAAUGCAUUUUAACUUUGCAUAGGUAGUGAUCAGAGUCGAAUUCACUGUCUGAUUACUUUAACAUUCAUCACUUGUCUAGUGUUUUUCCUGGUAUUGCUACAUGGCCUAAUUGGAAUUCUAGGUUGGGAUUUGGAGAUACCCAAGUCUUUGCUUUUCUUGGGACUUUCCGAAAAUGAGUUGACAUUACCUACAACUGGAAAGUUUUGCAGCGUCCAGUGAGCAUUUCUACUGUCUGAUUUGUUCUUCCGUGUGCUGAGCAGCCUCUUGCUAUGUCUUUAUAUUUUCUUUCUCUCUCGAUCUGUACGUUGAAGAUACCUAGAAGGAUUUUCUACGGUUCAGAGGUAUGCUGGAGAUUUGUUUCCAGUAGAUCCCAGAAGUCGUCUGCUGUUUGGAGGUUGUUCUUGUUGUCUUUGUUAAUUGGAUUGUGGCAGUAUAUGGGAGUAUAUUUCUUGUUUAUGCACUUGAUUGUCAGUAUUGAUAACCUUCCAGAUUUUGAUGAGAAGCUCAUGACAUUGUUAACUAUGGUUCUGUUUAGGUAAAAGGUACUACCCAGGAGAGGGGUGUUAAUCAUUAUUUUUAUUGCUGGCUUUCCUUUGAAUGCUCUACGGUGUUGUGAGUCCACAAUGAGCUCAUCUAGGAAUCUGGCCUCUAAUACAGCCAACAUGUGAAUUUCGCAUUUAUACAGGAGCUUUUCCAAUUUUUAUUGUUUUCCGACUCGGAGGAGUGAAUUUACAUACGGUCCCAGUGUAGUAUUUCUUUCCGAAUUUCAGUUUGGAAGGUAAUAGGUACUAUUCACUGGAGAGAAGACUGGGCACUAAUGUACUAUCUACUGGAAGGAAGAUAUGUACUGAUUAAUUAUAAAACAGUGGCCUUAAUUUUGAUUAUCAGGUGUAAAUAUUAGUAGAAUAAAAACUUGUUCCUGAAAUGACAGGAGCGUGGGCUGCUCUCUUGAUAGAUAUCUCAUUAAGGUGUCCUUGAAGUUUCAAGCACCUAAGUAAAUUAGUCAGUGCAUAGAUUCCAAGUAAUGAUUGGGAUAUACACAUGUAAUUUGAUGAGCUUCACAAAAAAUUGUAAUAAAGAAAAUGAGUGAACUAAUGUUAU